CGUACGGGGAUCAGCGCGCGGAGGGAGCCACAGCCCGCGCCGCAGAGGGGACACCGCGAGAGAUGUCACCAUGCAAGGAUAUGGCCACUUGUAUCGAGGCAUCAGGUUGCUGUCUGAAAUGGAGAGGAGCAUAUAGCAGUGUAAGCCCGGCAGGAACAUUUAGGCCAUCCCUGCCAGGGAUCUGUUGGAGGCCUGCUUCAUGCAACAUACUUCACUGGGUACUGUCAGGAGGGCGGGGAAGCAUGAGAUUUGAGCUUGAAAGCUGCUUGGAGAGUGAA